GACGAACGCUGGCGGCGUGCUUAACACAUGCAAGUCGAGCGGUAAGGCCCUUUCGGGGGUACACGAGCGGCGAACGGGUGAGUAACACGUGGGUGACCUGCCCUCAGCUCUGGGAUAAGCCUGGGAAACCGGGUCUAAUACUGGAUAUGACUCCAUGACGCAUGUUGUGGGGUGGAAAGCCUUGUGCGGCUGAGGAUGGGCCCGCGGCCUAUCAGCUUGUUGGUGGGGGAUGGCCUACCAAGGCGACGACGGGUAGCCGGCCUGAGAGGGCGACGGCCACACUGGGACUGAGGACACGGCCCAGACUCCUACGGGAGGCAGCAGUGGGGAAUCUUGCGCAAUGGGCGAAAGCCUGACGCAGCGACGCCGCGUGAGGGAUGACGGCCU
rnacentral:rRNA from 1 species